GUGGAAUGUGGCAUUGUUCCAGAUGAAGUGGCGUUUCCAGAAUUACACAACUUGCUCUUGUCGCUUCUCUCUGCACCCGCUCCCAGCACUGUUGGUCUCAUUUGCUGCAGGUAUCAACAGAGAUAGGCCCGUUCAAAUGAUCCGUUCCAGGAAACUGUUCCAGCUGCUGUCACUGCCCCUGGGUUUCAGCUGCAAGAAACUGUGCAGUGUCUUUGCCUACCACGUGGCCAUCACUCCAGGGGCGGAGCCACGACCUCAUGACCGGCCUAUGGUCAGCACCCAGUGCCUGCUGUAUGAGUGGAGAGUGCCCCCUCCAGCUGACCUAUGUGUGCAGUUUUACACAGCAGAGGUGACU
rnacentral:lncRNA from 1 species